rnacentral:rRNA from 1 species
AUGAACGCUGGCGGCGUGCCUAAUACCUGCAAGUCGAGCGAACGGACGAGAAGCUUGCUUCUCUGAUGUUAGCGGCGGACGGGUGAGUAACACGUGGAUAACCUACCUAUAAGACUGGGAUAACUUCGGGAAACCGGAGCUAAUACCGGAUAAUAUUUUGAACCGCAUGGUUCAAAAGUGAAAGACGGUCUUGCUGUCACUUAUAGAUGGAUCCGCGCUGCAUUAGCUAGUUGGUAUGGUAACGGCUUACCAAGGCAACGAUGCAUAGCCGACCUGAGAGGGUGAUCGGCCACACUGGAACUGAGACACGGUCCAGACUCCUACGGGAGGCAGCAGUAGGGAAUCUUCCGCAAAGGGCGAAAGCCUGACGGAGCAACGCCGCGUGAGUGAUGAAGGUCUUCGGAUCGUAAAACUCUGUUAUUAGGGAAGAACAUAUGUGUAAGUAACUGUGCACAUCUUGACGGUACCUAAUCAGAAAGCCACGGCUAACUACGUG